rnacentral:rRNA from 1 species
GACGAACGCUGGCGGCGUGCUUAACACAUGCAAGUCGAACGGUAAGGCCCUUCGGGGUACACGAGUGGCGAACGGGUGAGUAACACGUGGGUGAUCUGCCCUGGACUUCGGGAUAAGCCUGGGAAACUGGGUCUAAUACCGGAUAGGACCACUGCCUACAUGGGUGGUGGUGGAAAGCUUUUGCGGUGUGGGAUGGGCCCGCGGCCUAUCAGCUUGUUGGUGGGGUGAUGGCCUACCAAGGGGACGACGGGUAGCCGGCCGGAGAGGGUGACCGGCCACACUGGGACUGAGAUACGGCCCAGACUCCUACGGGAGGCAGCAGUGGGGAAUAUUGCACAAUGGGCGCAAGCCUGAUGCAGCGACGCCGCGUGAGGGAUGACGGCCUUCGGGUUGUAAACCUCUUUCAGCACCGACGAAGCGCAAGUGACGGUAGGUGCAGAAGAAGGACCGGCCAACUACGUGCCAGCCGCCGCAGUAA